AUAAUUAUGAAAGCAAAAAUUAUGGCGGUAUUUUAAGCUUUUCAGAGGAAUUUGCUCUUUAAUGGAUAAAACACACCAAAAUCUUACUUAGGAUUGUGAUUUCAAUUGUGUACCACUAUUAAAACAAUUUAUAACUUUAAUUGUUUAAAUUUACAAAACUAAAAUAUAUUAAGUCAAGGUGCAGUAAAAAUUUAAGGAUGAAGUGAAUUACAUUACUUUUUAGUGAGAUAAGUUUAUAACAAUAUUUAGGAUUUGAAAGUAAAAUUAAAAUAGGAUGUUAAUUUGAAUUAAGCUCUAAAAUAUGUACAUAUCGCCCGUCACUCUUUA
rnacentral:rRNA from 1 species